UUAAUAAUGUAUAUUCCGAAAAUUUAGCUCUGUCAAUAGAGAGACACUCUGAAAGUAUUGUAGAAGCUAACGUAAUUAAAGUGAAUACAGAAAAUCAAUUUAGAAGACAUCGAAUAUGGGAGAUGAGUGACCGUGUAAUAGAUAAGGAUGAAUUAUAUUCCUAUAUUACAAUCAAGAUUCAAAUUAUUCGCAAAAAACAAAUCGAGAAGCAGAGACAAUAUUUUGCAAGAUUUUUCUUCUAAUCGGUGGAUGUAAAAAAUUGCAGUUUUGCAUACGUGGACGUACUUUAUAUGAAUAAUUUUAUUAUAUUGUAUCUACUAUACCUUUUACUGCUCUAAAUAUUGUUUAUUUAGAUGUAUUAGUAUCCGAUUUAUAUAUUUGCCUUUUUAUAUUUACAAAACGUUAUAACUGCAUG